rnacentral:rRNA from 1 species
UACGAGGGGUCCAACCGUUAUUCGGAAUCACUGGGCUUACAGAGUUCGUAGGCGGUCCAGAAAGUGGGGUGUGAAAGCCCUCGGCUCAACCGAGGAACUGCGCUCCAAACUACUGGGCUAGAGGAAGAUAGAGGUGAGCAGAACUGAUGGUGGAGCGGUGAAAUGCGUUGAUAUCAGCAGGAAUACCGGAGGCGAAGGCGGCUCACUGGGUCUUUUCUGACGCUGAGGAACGAAAGCUAGGGGAGCAAACGGG